ACUCAGCUGGGACGAACAAUUACCACCUGAUCUGACACGAGAAUGGCAGCAGUGGUGUUCAGAACUACCCCAGUUACACCAGCUUGGCUGUGCUUCCAUUUGUAGUCUGUAAUGGUUUUCAAGCCCUGCCACAUCCGACGAGCAUCAGAGCUGGUGUAGUAUGAUUCAAUCUCAGUCCUGUAUUGGUACUUUGCCUGUUUGAUGGUUCGUCGGAGGGCAGAGCAGGAUUUUUUAUAAGCUUCUGGGUUGGAGUCCCGCACCUUGAAAGCAGCAGCUCUACCCUUUAGCUCAGUGCAAAUGUUGCCUGUAAUCCAUGGCUUCUGGUUGGGGCCGAUGCUUGCCAUGCGUACCAGAUCGUCCACAAGAAUGGCAUCCCUGACAAGCAGAUUGUUGUGAUGAUGUAUGAUGAUCUGGCAACCAAUGAGAAGUGGCGAAUCGCAUCUCUGCAUGUCUGGCAGACAUAUCAGUGUGGAUGACGGAUCACCACCUCAAGCUGAACCUCGGCAAGACGGAGCUGCUCUUCCUCCCGGGGAAGGACUGCCCGUUCCAUGAUCUCGCCAUCACGGUUGACAACUCCAUUGUGUCCUCCUCCCAGAGCGCUAAGAACCUUGGCGUGAUCCUGGACAACACCCUGUCGUUCUCAACUAACAUCAAGGCGGUGGCCCGUUCCUGUAGGUUCAUGCUCUACAACAUCCGCAGAGUACGACCCUGCCUCACACAGGAAGC